GACGAACGCUGGCGGCGUGCCUAAUACAUGCAAGUCGAACGCAGUGGGGACGGGUGAGUAACACGUGGGUAACCUCCCAUCAGAGGGGAUAACACUUGGCAACAGGUGCUAAACCGAUACUGAUGGAUGGACCCGCGGUGCAUGAGCUAUUUGGUGAGGUAGCGGCGCACCAAGGCCACGAUGCAUAGCCGACCUGAGAGGGUGAUCGGCCACACGGGGACUGAGGCACGGCCCCGACUCCUACGGGAGGAAGCAGUAGGGAAGCUUCGGCAAUGGACGAAAGUGUGACGGAGCAACGCCGCGUGAGUGAUGAAGGGCUUCGGAUCGUAGAACUCUGUUAUUAGGGAAGCGGUACCUAAUCAGAAAGCCACGGCUAACUACGUGCCAGCAGCCGCGGUAAUUC
rnacentral:rRNA from 1 species